UCCCUCUCAGGAUCACACCUGGAGAGUUUCCAAUACUCUGCCAGUCUCGACUAUGGGAGGGCUAGUCAAGCAGAGACAUAGCCAUUCCAUUCCUAUUUUGGGCAGUGGCUAAUGAGUGGAAGGCAAUCUGCUACAAGU